AAUUUCAGGUAAUUACGCUAGCUUUUUAGCUGGUGAGGAAAGUCCAUGCUCGCACAAGCUGCGAUGCUUGUAGUGUUCGUGCUCAGCGAAAUCAUAAGCUGAGGUAUUGGUUUUUUCCAAUAACGGCAGAAAAAAUGACUAAGGGGAAACCUAUGUCAAAGUAUUCUUGAAAGUGCCACAGUGACGAAGCAGUUUUAGAAAUGAAAUUGAUGGAACGCGGUAAACCCCUCGAGCGAGCAACCCAAACAUAAUGGUAGGGGCACUUUUUUAGCGGAAUUAAACGCGUGAAAGAGACAAUUAAUUGUAGACAGAUGAUUACCCACCAUCUUAAUCCUGGUUAAGGUGGUGACAGAACAUGGCUUAUCGAA
rnacentral:RNase_P_RNA from 1 species